rnacentral:rRNA from 1 species
GACGAACGCUGGCGGCGUGCUUAACACAUGCAAGUCGAGCGGAAAGGCCACUUCGGUGGUACUCGAGCGGCGAACGGGUGAGUAACACGUGAGUAAUCUGCCCUUCACUCUGGGAUAGCCACCGGAAACGGUGAUUAAUACCGGAUACGACCACUCCACGCAUGUGGUGGUGGUGGAAACUUUUUGGGUGGGGGAUGUGCUCGCGGCCUAUCAGCUUGUUGGUGGGGUAAUGGCCUACCAAGGCUUCGACGGGUAGCCGGCCUGAGAGGGUGACCGGCCACACUGGGACUGAGACACGGCCCAGACUCCUACGGGAGGCAGCAGUGGGGAAUAUUGGACAAUGGGCGGAAGCCUGAUCCAGCAACGCCGCGUGAGGGAUGACGGCCUUCGGGUUGUAAACCUCUUUCAGCACCGACGAAGCGCAAGUGACGGUAGGUGCAGAAGAAGGACCGGCCAACUACGUGCCAGCAGCCGCGGUAAAAC